UAAUGUUUAAAAUUUGUCCCUUAUUCUUUAUUAUUUUAUUCAUCUUCUUCUUCGUUAAAAACGACAUUUUCUUUCGUACAAGUUGACAAUUAUAAAUUUUCGAACUUUAAUUUCUUUGAAAUUCGCCGGCGCGGUAAAUCCAUUGGAACGCGAGAAAAGUAGGGGAAGGAAGAAGCCGGUCACAGGCGCCGCGAGAAGGAACGAAUUCAUUCCGGGAUAUAUCGUUUCCAAUCGACGAUCACGAGCAUACGACCACACGACCACGACCAUAACCACGACCACAACCACAACGCAGCUAUGGAUCGUCCUCGAGAAGUCCGACGAACUCUCUUUCUCUCCCUCCCUCCCUCUCUUUCUCUCUCUCCUUUUUUUUUCUUUUUUUACCCUUUUACCCUUUUUUUCGGGGAAAAGGCCGUGCGAGAGUUCGUUUGCCUAAGAAAACUCUCUUCGAGAGUUCAUCAAGAUGGAUCAUCUUCUGCUAGAAAAGUUAAGAAGACUAGAGAGAGAGAGAGAGAGAAAGAGAGAGAGAGAGAGGGAGUGAGAGAGAGAGAGAGAAGAGGAGAGAGAAAAGGACAUUCGUAAUUCGAACGUGGCGCUUCGAUUGAGAACGAGGCCCAGUGAUUUUCUAUCUUUAUCUCGCUUUCAUCCUACUCCAACACCACAAUCCCCCUACACACACCUCUCUCUCUUUCUCUCUUUCUCUCUCUCGGUCGCUCGCUCUUUUCUUUUUUAAUCUAUUUUUACGAUUGUCCUAACAGCUUCUUGAUGGAAACCAUUGCCAAUCGUAACUGAAUCUAUAUCACUAUUUUUUUACUUCUUUUCUUUUAUAUUAGAAAUUUUUAUGUCUCUCUCUCUCUCUUUUUUUCUUUCUUUUUCUUUGUCUCUCUCUCUCUCUCUCUCUCUCCCUCCUCUCUCUCUUCAACCUCAACUACGUUCAGGAUCAUCGGAGCACGUAGUGGUUCUCAUUGGCCAGUAGUCAGUAUGAAACAUUUUGUACGAAUGUUUUAUUGAAGAAGUGAGAGAAGUGAUACGAGAUCUAACCUAACUUUCUUCAUCGAUGCCACUUGUUUCUUAUUGGACGACUACGAUGACUACAAUGGCGACAAUGAUCCUGAUGAUUAUAAUGAUGAUUAUAAUAAUGAUAAUGAUGAUGAUGAUGAUGAUGAUGAUGAUGGUGAUGAUGAUGUUAUGUGGCUGCUGGUGUUCUUCGAUUAUGUUUGGAAAUGACAUUUUGAAACGUCAGCUAACAUCCUGCCGAAUCCGCACUGCGACGACCUAAAAAUAAGAAAGCCAAGACACAGAAUUCUAUCCUUAAGUUUUAUUGAACGAGCUAUCUUCAACGACAUGGAACAUCAGAGUGAAUUUUCGACUACACGGAACAUCAGAGUGAAUUUUCAACGGCAUGAUGUACAUCAUAGCAACCGAAACAAAUGAAGAAUGUUUUCAACGACUUGAAGAUAUGCUACAUGUUAUUCAAUUACCAGUCGAUCAAAUUGGAGAGAGAUGUGACCAGGUUGUGCCAGCAUUUCAACUCGAAAAUUAUUUUCGCUUUUGAUAAAGUAAUCAUUAUAGAAAAAACAGAUCGAUCUUUUAAUCGAGAACAUGUUCUUGAUACGAAAAGCGUUUUGUGCAUUUGUUAAGUUCUGUUUGGAUAAUCUGUUCUGUAGAAUAGAGUAGAGAAAUAACAAUUGUAAUUAUACCAAUUCAGAAUAAAUAUUUUUUAUAUAUUAUUUAAUAGGUCUUAUAAAUUAUAGGAUAUUUACUUGUUAUUAUAUACUGUCAUUAUAUCCUUUGUGCGGUAUCAUAUAUAAUACUACAUAUAAAAGGAAAAAACAUUUAAUAUUUGGUCUUUUAAUUUGAAGUAUCAUCAUUUAAAUUUAAAUAAAUUAGAUAGAAUA